rnacentral:lncRNA from 1 species
CAUUAAAAGCAGGGUGAAUCGUCAAUCUGUUUUGGGAGCAAUCACAUCUGCACAGCAAAGAUUGAAGUUGUACAACAAGGUUCCUCCCAAUGGGCUUGUGCUGUACACUGGUACUAUUGUGACAGAAGAUGGAAAGGAGAAGAAGGUGACUAUUGACUUUGAGCCUUUUAGGCCUAUAAAUGCUUCCCUUUACCUAUGUGACAACAAAUUCCAUACAGAAGCAUUGAAUGAACUUUUGGAAUCUGAUGACAAGUUUGGUUUUAUUGUUAUGGAUGGAAAUGGUACCCUCUUUGGCACAUUAAGUGGCAAUACUCGUGAGGUGCUUCAUAAAUUUACUGUUGACCUCCCAAAGAAACAUGGAAGAGGCGGGCAAUCAGCACUACGGUUUGCUCGUCUUCGAAUGGAG